rnacentral:rRNA from 1 species
GGGUGAGAAUCCCGUAUGUGACUGGAAAUGUUAACCUAUGUAAAGCUCCUUCGACGAGUCGAGUUGUUUGGGAAUGCAGCUCUAAAUGGGAGGUAAAUUUCUUCUAAAGCUAAAUAUUGGCGAGAGACCGAUAGCGCACAAGUAGAGUGAUCGAAAGAUGAAAAGCACUUUGGAAAGAGAGUUAAAAAGCACGUGAAAUUGUUGAAAGGGAAGCGCUUGCAAUCAGACUUGUUUAAACUGUUCGGCCGGUCUUCUGACCGGUUUACUCAGUUUGGACAGGCCAGCAUCAGUUUCGGCGGCCGGAUAAAGGCUCUGGGAAUGUGGCCUUCACUUCGGUGAAGGUGUUAUAGCCCAGGGUGUAAUACGGCCAGCCGGGACUGAGGUCCGCGCUUCGGCUAGGAUGCUGGCGUAAUGGUUGUAAGCGACCC